AAACUGGUUACCACGACAACCAUCAGUGCCGUGAGUUUUGACAUCUGUCAGAAACCUGCUGAAUAUUUCCAGCGUUUUAUGUGACAAAUGCUGAUUCAAAGAUGAAGGAUGAAGAGGAGAUGAUAUCAAUUGAUGAUAAAAAUCACCAACAGACUUCCCUGCUGGUAGAACAUCAAACCAACAAAAGUCCAGGUUGGCCUCGUGGUGAGGAGGAUGGCACCUGUGGAAGACAGCUAGAUGAACCCACUCCCACUGUGGACAGAAAACAUCAGCGUGACAUUGGAAAAUGCUUCAAAAAGCUGUCUAAACUUAAAGAACAUCAGAGAAUCCACUCUGGAGAAAAGCCACACCUGUGUGAAGUCUGCGGCAAGACCUUCAGGUUACGAUGCUAUUUGAAAAGCCACCAGCUCGUCCACAGUGAAAUGAGGCCAUACACUUGUCCUGAACCUGAAUGUGGACAAAGUUUCCGCAACCCAAGACAUUUUAAAAACCAUCAGAGCAUCCACUCUGGAGAAAAGCCACACCUGUGUGAAGUCUGCAGCAAGACCUUCAGGUUACGAUGCUAUUUAAAAAGCCACCAG